GGGCUCAGGGGCAAAGCAUUUGCUUUGCAUGCAGAACAUCCCAGGUUCAAUCCCUGCCAUCUACA